rnacentral:lncRNA from 1 species
AGUUGAGCACGAUUCGGAUGAUCUAAUUAGAGUUGACAGUUUAACCCUGAGUCAUCCUAAACACAGAGGUCAAAAGGAUGAAUUAUACAGUAACCAUAUUCACGUAGGUUCUGAGUGUUGCGAUUGUGACUAUUCGACCUAUCCGGUCAUCGGGUACCAUUGCUAGAUGGUCACUUCGAUUAGUACAGGAAUUGGUUCCUGUGCUACCGGCUUAGGUUCGAACCUGCGGGGUCACACACAUUAGAGGUUCCAAUCUGAUCUGAUGGC